CGGGGUUACGAAGUCGGAGUCUGGACCUCGGAAGGCAGGAAGGACGGAGCUACGUACAGAAUGGGUGGAACGCGCUUGUGUGUACUUAUAGAGCACGGAAUAAUGGCUUCAGAAUAAUAAUGGUUUCAGAAGUGGUUGAAGUAAUUUCCAUCUGAUGACUGAGCGCUCAGUAGAGUAAGCAUAUGGCAUCUAUAUGGCUAUUUGCGUGGAUACCGACCUUCAAUUUGACUGAUCAGGAAGGACAUGGAGUUACUACUGCAUGAAGUCCAAAGAAGGCUUGUGUGUGAGAGUGGAGGGGAGGCUUAAAAAGCUC